rnacentral:rRNA from 1 species
ACGUAGGGUGCGAGCGUUAAUCGGAAUUACUGGGCGUAAAGGGUGCGCAGGCGGUCUUGCAAGUCAGAUGUGAAAGCCCCGGGCUUAACCUGGGAAUUGCGUUUGAAACUACAAGACUAGAGUGCAGCAGAGGGGAGUGGAAUUCCAUGUGUAGCAGUGAAAUGCGUAGAGAUGUGGAAGAACACCGAUGGCGAAGGCAGCUCCCUGGGUAGACACUGACGCUCAUGCACGAAAGAGUGGGGAGCAAACAGGAUUAGAUACACUGGUAGUCCACGCCCUAAACGAUGUCAACUAGUUGUCGGAUCUAAUUAAGGAUUUGGUAACGUAGCUAACGCGUGAAGUUGACCGCCUGGGGAGUACGGUCGCAAGAUUAAAACUCAA